AACGAACGCUGGCGGCAGGCUUAACACAUGCAAGUCGAGCGCCCCGCAAGGGGAGCGGCAGACGGGUGAGUAACGCGUGGGAAUCUACCGUACCCUACGGAAUAGCUCCGGGAAACUGGAAUUAAUACCGUAUACGCCCUACGGGGGAAAGAUUUAUCGGGGUAUGAUGAGCCCGCGUUGGAUUAGCUAGUUGGUGGGGUAAAGGCCUACCAAGGCGACGAUCCAUAGCUGGUCUGAGAGGAUGAUCAGCCACAUUGGGACUGAGACACGGCCCAAACUCCUACGGGAGGCAGCAGUGGGGAAUAUUGGACAAUGGGCGCAAGCCUGAUCCAGCCAUGCCGCGUGAGUGAUGAAGGUCUUAGGAUUGUAAAGCUCUUUCACCGAUGAAGAUAAUGACGGUAGUCGGAGAAGAAGCCCCGGCUAACUACGUGCCAGCCGCCGCCGUAAGAC
rnacentral:rRNA from 1 species